AGAUUUGGUUAUUUUGAAAGGAGGCUAGCACUGAAAACAAGUUGUAUCAUCCCGGUGAACAUUCUCGCUGUAUUUUAGAUUAGGUUAGGGACACUUUGAUAAAUAGUUAGAAUAGUUUAAAUUCCAGAUAUGUGAAAAUAUUUAAAAGCUUGUCUUCAGAAAAGAAAAAGGCAAUUAUGGCCAACGGAUCGAAUGGGGGAAGGAGGGCAUCAAGUCACCCAAAUGAAGAGGGAAAAGCAAAAGUACAAUUCAAGAUGCAGAUAGAUGAAUCUCGUCUGAUUCCCGCAAGCAGACAACUUACCAAGAACGAAUUGGGCGCCUUUUAUGAAGCUUUCACGCUUUUUGACCACAAAGGGAACGGUCGAAUUAGCUGUGAGGAAUUUUUGGAAACGUUACGCCGAGUUGGAGUCAGUGUUAAUGAAAGUGUCGUUUACGACUUGAUCGUAGCUCAGGAUGAAAACGGGAACGGUGAACUCGAUUUUGAAGAAUAUCUAAAUUUCAUGACAAAUGAAGACAUAUUUAUGGGAUUGAUUGGUGGACUUCAUGCUCCAAACAAACCUGAUUAUAAAGAUGUUCUGAUGUAUGAGGUGAUGUCCCAAUUCAUAUCAAGAAGUUGUUUGAAAGAAAAUCAACGCAAUGAAAUAGUUGGCUAUUACACAAGGAAAUUGAAAACUGCUGCAAAGAAACAUAACCUCAUGCAUGCCGCACAUGUUGUUCAUCAUUAUGCCAAUGGUGCUCGAUCUUUGGGUUUGACUGAGAAAGAAAUAUUUAACCAAAUUGAAAAUAUAAAAAAGAUGGCUGAAAAUGAGGGAGAUGAAAAGAAGAAAAAUAGCCCUUAUGCCCAUCCUAUACAACUGAUUUUAACACCCACUGGAACUCAGAAAACGAAUCAGGGCAGGCGUAAACAACCGGGAUGGUGUCCAUCACAGAUUGUCAAUUAUGGAGUGAAACUUCCUCGGAUAAAUGUCAAAGAACCAAAAACAUGUGAUCGCAUUCAUGAUAUCAGAAUGAAAGUACAGAAUGUCAAGGAAGGCUACUAUUGUUCUACUUCGAAAACUAUCAAAUUUCAGGGAUUUGUCGAAAGCGCAACACAAGAAUUUCAAUGAAGUUUGGAAGAACCUGCAUGUUCCAAAUAUAUCAAGUAAUCGGUUGCAAACAAUGAUGAAAGAAAUAUAUGGAACUUAUACUGCGAGUAGACUUACAGGUUGUCGAGGAGAGCAAGGAAAAAAAGAUAAAACGCUGCCUCGAAUUCAGGUACCCACUUCAUCCAAAAGCGAUUCAACUGGAUGAAGGAAGCUGCAUAUGAAACUUUCUGCCUAAUAACGAAUUAUCACAAAAUUAAAAUAAACAAAAUAAAAACAGGGCUUUGUGGAUUUCACCGUCUAUAUUGGUGUGGAGUAAGCACUCCGUGUGAACGAGCGUCAUCCAGUUGCAAUUGUUUUAUACUAGGCCAAAUGUCGUUUACUUUUUAAUUCGAAUCUACGUACUGAUGAAGUGAAUUCAAAAUCUGGAAUGGGCAAUUCUUGCUAAUACAAAUACAUAAUUCUUUGCUCUCCAUUCAGCAAUGCUUUCACGUUAUCGAUUCAUUUUAGUGGUAACAUAUUUCUAAUACGUCUGAAUGUUAUAUAUUUUGCACAAAACAAUAUAGUAAUUCAAGUUCCGAGCAUGCCGAUUAAAAUUCAUAUUUCUAUUCAAAGUUUGAAACGACCUCCUUUAUUUAAAUCAGCACUUAAAAACAGGA